UAGAGUUUGAUCCUGGCUCAGGACGAACGCUGGCGGCGUGCUUAACACAUGCAAGUCGAACGAUGAAGUGGAGCUUGCUCCACGGAUUAGUGGCGAACGGGUGAGGAACACGUGAGAAACCUGCCUCGGAUUUUGGGAUAACAAAUGGAAACGUUUGCUAAUACCAAAUAACGUCGGAGAGUCACAUGACUUUCUGACGAAAGGAAUUCCGAUUCGAGAGGGUCUCGCGGCCUAUCAGCUUGUUGGCGGGGUAAUGGCCCACCAAGGCAACGACGGGUAGCGUGGUCUGAGAGGAUGGUCAGCCACACUGGGACUGAGACACGGCCCAGACUCCUACGGGAGGCAGCAGUGGGGAAUCUUGCGCAAUGGGCGAAAGCCUGACGCAGCAACGCCGCGUGCGGGAAGAAGGCUUUCGGGCGUGUAAACCGCUUUCAGCAGGAACGAAAAUGACGGUACCUGCAGAAGAAGGAGCGGCCAACUAUGUGCCAGCAGCCGCGGUAAUACGUAGG
rnacentral:rRNA from 1 species